rfam:Felis catus isolate Cinnamon breed Abyssinian chromosome X, whole genome shotgun sequence.
GCCUGGGUGGCUCAGUCGGUUGAGCGUCCGACUUCAGCUCAGGUCACGAUCUCGCGGUCCGUGAGUUCGAGCCCCACGUCAGGCU